UCGGAAUUACUGGGCGUAAAGCGUGCGUAGACGGUUACGUAAGUCAGAUGUGAAAGCCCCGGGCUCAACCUGGGAAUUGCAUUUGAGACUGCGUAGCUAGGGUGCGGAAGAGGGAAGCGGAAUUUCCGGUGUAGCGGUGAAAUGCGUAGAUAUCGGAAGGAACACCAGUGGCGAAAGCGGCUUCCUGGUCCAGCACCGACGUUCAGGCACGAAAGCGUGGGGAGCAAACAGG
rnacentral:rRNA from 1 species